CAUUUUCCCUUUUUUAUUAAUUUUUAAAUGCCAAGGAAAGUACACACAUUAGAGUACUUAGAGUACCAGUUGAUACUUGCUACAAUGUCGAGUAUCAGUUCAUACUUGUUACGAUUAAAAAAGUAUAUACAUGUACUUCAAAUAGGAACGCAUGUACGUCCUCGAAUCAGGGUUGAUUAAAGACUGCUCCUGUUUGCUUGCACCACAGAAUUCCGAGCAUCGGUGGCUCGUUUGGGUGUUGACACGCGUUGCCGCACAUUUUACAAAAAAAACCCUCUGUGUUUUAUAAAAUUAACCCGCCAUCCAGCUCAUCUGUCCAGACUGACCUCCCGAUCCCUCUCUCCUUUCUCUCCUCUCUCCCCCCUACCCUCGGCGCCGCCGCCGCCACCAUCCACCUCCGCCCCUCCCUGUCCUCUCCUCCCUAUGCAGCCUCCACACGGCCAUCGCUCGAGCAAGGAAGUGGCGUGGCCUCGCUACGCAGGGGAGCGCGUUGAGGCACGCGAGAUCAAAAAACACGACAGAUCGGGCGAACCUUAUCGGGCCCCAUGGUGGUCAUGGUCUGCGGAGGAGUAGGCGGCGCUGGCUCCUUCCUGCCCUCUCCUCUCCGCAUAGCCUCCAUGCUGGCAUGAGCACCGUCGUCGCUUGAGCACGGGAAGCCGAACAAACUCUAGGGCGCGAGAGAGCAGUGGGAUCUAUGGCCUGAAUCCAUGGUGGCGCUAGGGUCCUCAGCGUGGUGAUGGAGCUUGACGUCUCAGCAACGAAGCGGUCCAGCUGAGAUCCGGUGCAGAUGAGACGGACGGAGAGAGGCGCUCGGGUCGGCCAUAGCACCGAGACGACGACGGUGGAGGCGCGGGUCACGGGAGAAGGGGCACGGUCUCGGAAGAGACCGAGAGAGGGGGCGCCGAGUCACGGGAGAAGGGGCGCGGGUCACUGGAGAAGGGGCGCCGAGUCUACUGGUAGUUUUUUUUUGCAAUUUGGGACGAGGAGGGGGAGAGGUGCAUGCUAUUUUUGGGCCGCAUAAACAUGUGGCUGGGAGAUUCCGAAGCGCCAUGGUCAAACAAAGACCAAGGAAAUGGCAUGACAGGAGCAAAUCGAGGUGUCUACCAGCACGGAUGUAUGUGUGAGUGAUAAUCUACUUCUGCCCAUGCCCCCUUGCUUGAAGGAGUCCUCGGUGAGGUGGUGACCUCGAAUCUGCACUUGUCCGUCGACCCAUGGAGGAGGGAUGUCUGCCUUCCUCAAUGCGUCCAUGGAUAUGGUUCUCACUUGGACCCUGCCAACACACUAUGGUUGCCCACCUCUUCCCAAGAUGGCAUGGUCUUUGCAAGCGGUGUCGGAUUCAGAGCGUCCCCAUCACAGACAUAGAGAGGCAGUUAUUGAGUCAAAGAUGCAAGUCGACAAGACUAGCCAACUGAAGUUUCUUCUUCUUUAUGCUUCUACAGGAAAGAAAAAUCCAUGAAUCGGCUAUUCAUUUUGAACCUGGAUUUCUCGGAGCCAUAAUAGCCCUAGCUGGUCAACAUAUUGUGGAAUGAGACGGUAUAAUGACUCAUAGACUAUGACAAUGGGCGGUUGACUUUAGAUAUGGAGUUGUGGAUGUUAUUAGUGUAAAUAUUCUUCAUGUCUUUUGUUGUGGAACGGGGUUAACUCCUAUGAGAUUUUCUAUGCCUCUUCUAAUUCGUGAUUUUAGGAUGGCGCAAGAUGUGUCUAUAUCAGGUUCUAUAUUUGUCUAUCUUGUGUUUGAUUAGUUAUUGCUACAUUCUAAGAAGAUAUUAUAUACAUUAAAUGUUACAAAUCU